UGGGGAAUCUUGGACAAUGGGGGCAACCCUGAUCCAGCCAUGCCGCGUGAGUGAUGAAGGCCUUAGGGUCGUAAAGCUCUUUCGCCUGUGAAGAUAAUGACGGUAGCAGGUAAAGAAACCCCGGCUAACUCCGUGCCAGCAGCCGCGGUAAUACGGAGGGGGCUAGCGUUGUUCGGAAUUACUGGGCGUAAAGCGCGCGUAGGCGGACUGAUCAGUCAGGGGUGAAAUCCCGGGGCUCAACCCCGGAACUGCCUUUGAAACUGGAUAUCUAGAGACCGGAAGAGGAUAGCGGAAUUCCCAGUGUAGAGGUGAAAUUCGUAGAUAUUGGGAAGAACACCAGUGGCGAAGGCGGCUAUCUGGUCCGGAUCUGACGCUGAGGCGCGAAAGCGUGGGGAGCAAACAGGGA
rnacentral:rRNA from 1 species